rnacentral:lncRNA from 1 species
GGCGUGGGAUGAUCUUGAGAUCAGUGUAAGGACCCUAUCAACAUAGGCCCUCUGUUCCAGAAUUGACAAUUUGCUGGUACUCUUAUUGGAGGAAAUCCCCAUGGCAAUGCCUACGGUUUGUCUGUACGAUGGCAUUGGCAUCCCACGGUUAUCUCAACAGGUUGGUUGGAGAGCGGCAUUCUACUGAGAACUUGAUUGCAGUUAGAUGCUUUCAGGUGUUUUAGUAUGUGCAAGCAGUGUUCAUUUAGUUUUGUUGUAGGGGGCCAUCACAAAAGAAUGACAAGCAAUCGAAGAAUGGAAGGCAUGUGUAACUUGUAGGACAAAACAGGAACCUGACAUUGACAGAAUGAAAUGUUGACAAAAAUUCUUAUUGAGGUUGUUGGAAAGAUGUUUGCCUUCAGAUGGUAUCCUAGAUUUUGUAUUGCAUAGUUACUUUUCCAAACCAUUUUCGUGGAUUUAUUCUCACAGGUCUUUGUUAGGGAGUAGAUGCAGAUACUGUAGUUUUGAUGGCGCAAGAAGCAUCACGAGUGGAAAACCGAGAUGCAAUAGACAAUGCUAUGUUAGGGGAUGUUGGCUGAUCCAAAAGAGGUAUGCCAGUUAGUAUAUGAAUGUUCUAGGAGUAGUUACAUAGGAUGGAAUGCAAAUUUAGGAGCCUUUUGAAUCCUUAAUAGCUGAAACACACGCACCAUAAAUAAUUGAAUGAGAUUUUCCCAUCUGAAUGACUGUGUACAGGUCUCCUUUAAUAUGUCCUAUAUUUUUUUUUGACAUAUACAAAAAAUAAGCACGGGCUGGCAUUCAAGCGGUUUCAGUCCUUUCCAUUUAAUCCCACGAUAAGCGAACACUCUGAACUUAUUGGACGGUGAAGGUAAAAAUGCAUCGAUCGAGUCAGCCCAAAGGUGCACCAGAACAGGUAUCUUAGGUCGGUAACAUGUUUCCAUUAUAUCUUGCACAUGAUCACCUAGUUGCUUCUAAUAAUUGCAUCCAAUAUGGUUUUCGGAUACUUAAUCUCGCGCACACAAAUAAAUCGGAAAAGAGCGUAGAGUUCAUGCUGUGAUCGAUAAGUUUGACAAGAGGAGGUUACGAUCUCUUGCAAGUGCCUACCAGGUACUAUGAUAUUGUCAUUAAGUGCUGGUCGAUUCCUUCUACUACUCUCCGCAAUGCAGGUGAAAAUCUUUUCGAAUUAGCUAGUCCAUUUAGUGAUGGCCUAUACUCCCACUUUCAAUAGGAAGUUCCUGAUGGAAGGAAGGAAAGUCCGGAGCGUCAGUGGCAGUUCACUGCCUCCUAUUGCCUCUCUGUGACCAACCCGACAUGCAGUGAAGAAGAGACAAUAACGAGGGGUUUAAAUCUGGGCGGUAAGGUCAAUGAUUAAAAUGGAUCACUGGGGCGUAUAUCUAUAUUUAAGAAACCUCUUUCCCUAUUCGCGAUUAAAUUCUCUUGUGGUGUUUAUUGGAUCAGCUUGGUUAAUGCCAAGGAAUUUUUAUGAGGAUGAAAAUCAUUUUUCUCCAGGACACUUGUCAAAAAAAGAAAUAUAAUAUAGUCUCCUGAAAAUGGACUAUACCUUUUUUGAUGUAAUUUCUUUCAAAAUGGUUAAAAAUAAGGUCAACUUCUUUGCAGUAAUCGUUUAUAGAUGAUUCUCUACGAUUGUUUACGAGUCUUUUAUCAUAACAAUUUAUUUUAAUGCCAUCAUGUGACACUGAAAGACUUAGAUAAGUUCCCGCAAAAGAAGAGAUGCAAAACUUUUUACUGAAAUGGGAGAAAGCUUCAGAAGUUUUGUAGAACAGUGAUUUCCUUUUAAUGUUGAGGUUGAAUUAGUAGUUCAUUAGCUGCACAGGCAAAGUUUUAAUUCUCUACCAGAUGUUAGUUGUGGUGGUUCAAAUAAUGUAGGUUGGAGUGCUCAUAAGUAUUUCAUGAUAUUAUACCACAAGAAAGUUCUGUUGCAUCCUUCUUUCAUUAGUCUUUGUUCUGAAAAAUCAUCUCUUCUCACUAUCGUGUGCAUCUUUUUCAGAAAGUUCUGUUGAAUUAAUUUAUUUUUUUUUUUUGUGUGUGUGUUUUUGUCGGCAUGACCCUUUUCAACUCCAACUAGGUGAUCAACUAGCAACUAGCAAAGGAAAACAGGCGGCGUUUGGGAAGGGGAACCAAAUAUGUAUCCUUUCAUAGCCUUGUUAGCGACAGCACAAGGAUGAGUCAAUUGUAGCUUUGCCAGUUGAUGAACUGAUUGAAAAAGCUGAUGUUUGCCGGUGUUUUCCUGUAAUGAGUUAUUCUCUUUGAUUUUAUUCUUUUUUCGUAAGUCAAGAUAUUCAUAUUCUACUUUUGUUAACUAUAAUUAAGCUAGACCCAGAACAUAGUUCAAGGUCAGAAAAUGUGAUACCUUGGAAUCUCUUAAGGAGGAAACUACACCAGUGGCUCAAUACAAUCUUGGGUUUCAUUUUUCUUAUGUAAUUUCAAUGUUCGCACAAAAAAUACUAACGUACAAUCUUAACAUUCAUUUAGAGCACUCUUC